rnacentral:rRNA from 1 species
UACGGAGGGGGCGAGCGUUGUCCGAAGUUACUGGGCGUAAAGCGCGCGUAGGCGGAUCGCUAAGUCAGGGGUGAAAUCCCAGGGCUCAACCCUGGAACUGCCUUUGAUACUGACGAUCUGGAGAUCGGGAGAGGUUGGUGGAAUUCCGAGUGUAGAGGUGAAAUUCGUAGAUAUUCGGAGGAACACCAGAAGCGAAGGCGGCCAACUGGCCCGAUACUGACGCUGAGGCGCGAAAGCGUGGGGAGCAAACAGG